CCUACGGGAGGCAGCAGUGGGGAAUAUUGGGCAAUGGGCGCAAGCCUGACCCAGCAACGCCGCGUGAAGGAAGAAGGCUUUCGGGUUGUAAACUUCUUUUCUCAGGGACGAAGAAAGUGACGGUACCUGAGGAAUAAGCCACGGCUAACUACGUGCCAGCAGCCGCGGUAAUACGUAGGUGGCAAGCGUUAGCCGGAUUUAUUGGGUGUAAAGGGCGUGUAGGCGGGAGCGCAAGUCAGAUGUGAAAACUCAGGGCUGAACCCUGAGCCUGCAUUUGAAACUGUGUUUCUUGAGUGCUGGAGAGGCAAUCGGAAUUCCGUGUGUAGCGGUGAAAUGCGGAGAUAUACGGAGGAAAACCAGUGGCGAAGGCGGAUUGCUGGACAGUAACUGACGCUGAGGCGCGAAAGCGUGGGGAGCAAACAGGAUUAGAUACCCUUGUAGUC
rnacentral:rRNA from 1 species